UACAGAGGUCCCAAGCGUUGUUCGGAUUCAUUGGGCGUAAAGGGUGCGUAGGUGGCGCGCUAAGUCAGGUGUGAAAUUUCGGAGCUUAACUCCGAAACUGCAUUUGAUACUGGCGUGCUUGAGGACUGGAGAGGAGACUGGAAUUUACGGUGUAGCAGUGAAAUGCGUAGAGAUCGUAAGGAAGACCGGUGGCGAAGGCGGGUCUCUGGACAGUUCCUGACACUGAGGCACGAAGGCCAGGGGAGCAAACGGG
rnacentral:rRNA from 1 species